GUCCUUGUAGUGCAAUGGAUAGCGAAUUGGACUUCUAAUCCAAAGGUCGUGGGUUCGAAUUCCAUCUGGGAUG
rnacentral:tRNA from 1 species